UCUCGUUGGUGACCAGCGGAGGGAUCAUUACCGAGUUUACAACUCCCAAACCCAAUGUGAACCAUACCAAACUGUUGCCUCGGCGGGGUCACGCCCCGGGUGCGUCGCAGCCCCGGAACCAGGCGCCCGCCGGAGGGACCAACCAAACUCUUUACUGUAGUCCCCUCGCGGACGUUAUUUCUUACAGCUCUGAGCAAAAAAUCCAAAAAUGAAUCAAAACUUUCAACAACGGAUCUCUUGGUUCUGGCAUCGAUGAAGAACGCAGCGAAAUGCGAUAAGUAAUGUGAAUUGCAGAAUUCAGUGAAUCAUCGAAUCUUUGAACGCACAUUGCGCCCGCCAGUAUUCUGGCGGGCAUGCCUGUCCGAGCGUCAUUUCAACCCUCGAACCCCUCCGGGGGGUCGGCGUUGGGGAUCGGGAACCCCUCAGACGGGAUCCCGGCCCCGAAAUACAGUGGCGGUCUCGCCGCAGCCUCUCCUGCGCAGUAGUUUGCACAACUCGCACCGGGAGCGCGGCGCGUCCACGUCCGUAAAACACCCAACUUUCUGAAAUGUUGACCUCGGAUCAGGUAGGAAUACCCGCUGAACUUAAGCAUAUCAAUAA
rnacentral:rRNA from 1 species